GGCCGAAACUCUUUCGGUGGUGUC
rnacentral:siRNA from 1 species